AUGCUUCACACCUGAAAUGGAAAAUAUUCAUUUAAUCAAUAAGUACAAAGCAUAAUAAAAACAUAACUUACAAUUAUUAGAAAUCAGUAUACAGAAUGUAAAUGCACCAAAUUAAGGUAACUUUUUCUUCUCAUCUACAGAUUCUAACCAAGGGCCUAACCUGACAUCUUCAUAAAAUUUUCACACAAAAAAUUUAAUCCACUAUUCUAUGUAACAAAAUCAAGACACCAAAAUUCAGAAACGAUGAACAGAAUUUUUCUAAAGUUCAAGUGACAAUGGGUCCAUCAGUAAGCAUUGCUUUCCUCUGAAUUGCUCCAGUUACAUAACCAUAAUUGUUUCAGCUGACUUCAGAAAGGAAAAUUGCAAUAGCACUGUUACUAAGCUGCACUAUGACCCAUAUCGAGUUCGUCUGCAGAACACCAUUUAUUGGAAACUGAAUACGCUUUUGCAGACAACAAUUCCAUAAUUACCUAUGCAGCCUGCCUAGUUCAUAAUCAGGACUGGAAACUGAAGGCAUCUGGAUUUUGAUGCUAUGCUAUUUAUGUGAUUUUUUCAGGAUAAUCCACUCAAAACAAGAGGUCUGAGUAGAAGAGAGAUGUGUGGAACAAGUAACCAACUAAACGAACACAGGGAAAUUUGGUUACAUUAACUUACCUAUUUUCUUUCUAGCACAAAUCUCUUUAUGUAUUUAACUUUGUCAUGGCAUACGCAUUAAAGACCAACAAAAUUUCAAUUGCUUCUGAUAACUUAAAUUUCCAAUCCUAGUUAAAGUUAGAACAAGAAUACCAG
rnacentral:misc_RNA from 1 species